UGCAAACAGACAUGUCUAUUGAUCCUCCGUUCAACUUCAUGACAGAAAAUAUAUCUACUGAUCAAAAGCCUUUCUGCAGAGACCAGUUCUGUCCACGAACAGUGACCAGUCAAUGGGACAUCAAGAACACUUCAGGGAUGGGAACACUGGGCAUGCGUAAGAAUUUAUCACGGUCCCCUCUUUUAUCAUCUUUAUGUCUCCACAUUAAAGCAUGGAGUCAGGACUCCCUUAUGUUUGACCUUAGGGCUAAGUUUUCUGCUGACAGGAUCCAAGAGGAGAGAGCCAAUUCUCCUGGACCAAGCUUUGAGUCCUUUAAGAGUGACUGGUCAAUGGUUCAUCCUAAAACACAAUUCGGGUAGGAAGGCAUUUCUACUGAUCAAAGAGACCUGCAAGAGAGAUCGGAGUCAGACAUUCCCCGUGGCCGGUCCACGGCAGACAUGUCCUCCAUAUUCAAGUUAGUUGAAGACCAAGUCAUCACAUUUGUAAAGAGUUAAUUGAAGAAGUUCAAGAAGAUUCGGAGUCCAGAUCACCCAGAAUGCUCUAACAGUCAGGGGAAGGGUGGUGGUGUAUGGUGAAGAUGAGAACCAGGAGAGCAGUGCCAGAGAGGGGGCUCUGAAGAUCACACUGCACAUCCUGAGGAACAUGAACCAGAAAGCGCUCACUGACACACUGGAGAACAAUCUUUUAGGUGAGCUUGCUGUGUGUCAACCUAAACUCAACUUUAACAAAAGGAAGUUUGAAUGCGUGUUUGAAGGAAUGGCUACACAAGGAAACCCAACACUUCUCAAUCAGAUCUACACCGAGCUCUACAUUCACAGAGGGUGGAAGUGGAGAGGGCAAUAAUGAACAUGAGGUGAGACAGAUUGAGACAGCAUCCAGGAGAUCAGCAACACAAGAGACACCGUUCAAAAUGCAAUGACAUCUUUGAACCCUUACCUGAGCAAGACAAACCAACAGAACUGUCCUGACAAAGGGAGUUGCUGGCAUUGGCAGAAGUUAAUUCUGGACUGGGCUGAAGGAAAAGCCAAUCAAGAUAUCCAGUUGAUAUUUUCACUUCCUUUUCAAGAGCUGAUUUAAAAAAAAAUGGAAAUAAAAGUCCGCAAUCUCAGACUUCAACAACUAUAAUGUGCUGUUUGUAUUUGAUGGUCUGGUGUGAUGUUUCAAAGUCAACCUCAGUGGAAGUGCUGCUGACAAACCUCAUUCAGGGAAUCUGCUUCCCUAUGCUCACAUCUGGAUAACCUCCCGACCAGCAGCUGCUAGUCACUUUGAAUUUGUAUACCUGAGUUUUUCUCAGUGUACAUUGUGGAUCCUCCAGUAUGGCAGAGUGCAGCUUCACCCCGGAGUCUCCUGGGUGAUUGUAGCUCAGGUCCAGCUUUCUCACAUGAAGGUUUGGACGGCAGCACUUCAGCUGGAGAAGCACAGCCUUCCUUUGCGACUCCACAGACGGACAAACUGCAAAUAAUAUGAAUUUUACACUAAGUUGUUGUUUGGAAGUAGGCUAGAGUGUGAUCCGCCUCGAUCCACAUAGAGUGAAAAUCUAGUAACAAACUGUUUGAUGCUUAAAAUGUGAGUUUACUUUAGUAAUUUUAAUAUCAUAAACUGAUUUUACUAACCUGAAUGUCUGCAGUUUAGACCCUCCAGUCCAGCAGAGCAGCUUCACUCCUGAAUUCUGGUAUGCAAUAUGUAUAUGAUCAUAAUUGAUUGUUGCCCGGCCUUUGUUGUACUGUAUGGGAAGACCUCAAUUGAAUAAUCCUCUCGUCUCGUUCUCAAAGCCCAUUGGAUGAGAAAGCCAGAAGUUU
ensembl:lncRNA